AAAGUUUAAUUGGAACAUACACAAACAUUUGGGGGGUUUAAAGGAGCAAAACCCCCAUAAAAAUUUUAUGUAAACAUAUUAAAAAAGAAGCCGCAACUCGAUAAAAACUGCCUUAUCGAAAAAAUAAUAAGAGGCAAAAAAGUUUUAGAAAUAUUGCGUUUAACUAAUGGUACCACAAUAAUAAUUUAAUUGGAACGUACACAAAAGUUUGGGAGGGUUUAAGGGAACAAAACCCCCAUAAAACUUUUAUGGGGUGCACAAAUUUCACUAUAAUUCUUUUUUACGAUGUCCCUACCAUGUGAAUGCCACAUGUCCAUUUUCAAUAAAAAAUCUCUAACAGUUUUCGAUAUAUUCGAAAAAAUCGAUUUUCAUUUUGUAACUUCAAAUGGUUGUAACCUUUUUUAUGUGCAUAUUUGUACUAAGGUACACUAGGUUCAUUCGAACUCUUUUUGGUCUCAGAAUAUGUGAUUUAAUUUAUGACCUGUAUUUUCGUUACACCCUGUAUACUUACAUCACAAUACAAUAAUUUAAUAUUACAUUUAUUUAAUUGUUCUGUACUUUGUUCAAGGUAAAUAAACAAUAGUUCCCAUUAAAACAAUGAAGUUGAGCAAGGGCCAAAUUUUUUUUCAUAUUGUUCAUUUAUAUUGAGCUUACAUUAAAUUUUUAUUUAAGCGAGUAUAGGUAUUCCGAUAUAACAACGACAUUAACCGAUUUGUUUAAGGGACAAAAAUGAUUUGAUUACUAUGAUUACUUUUGUAUUUGAGUACCGGUAAUCAUAUCGAGAAUCGUAUUUCUCAGUAGGUAGGUAUUUUGUAUAGGUAUUCCGAUAUAACAACGACCUUCACCGAUCUGUUUAAGGGAUAAAAAUGAUUUGAUUACUAUGAUUACUUUUGUUACUUCUGUAUUUGAGUACCGGUAAUCAUAUCGAGAAUCGUAUUUCUCAGUAGGUAGGUAUUUUGUAUAGGUAUUCCGAUAUAACAACGACCUUCACCGAUCUGUUUAAGGGAUAAAAAUGAUUUGAUUACUAUGAUUACUUUUGUUACUUUUGUAUUUGAGUACCGGUAAUCAUAUCGAGAAUCGUAUUUCUCAGUAGGUAGGUAUUUUGUAUAGGUAUUCCGAUAUAACAACGACCUUCACCAAUCUGUUUAACAGAUAAAAAUUAUUUGAUUACUAUGAUUACUUUUGUAUU